ACUUCCGUUAUCACUUGCUAACAAAGUUCUUCCUCCUUAAGUAGUAGGUUGGUUGGUCCAAGACCCCAACACAGCAGUUCAGUGGUAGGGCUCAAGUGUGAUUUAGCUAACAGUGUACUAACAACAUAUCUUGCUUUUCAGGUUUAUGGGUUUCACUUCUGGACAGAGCAGCUUAAAGUUUCAAAUUUUAUACGACUGUCAUUAUACGGCUAGUUAAUGCUAGAUGGAUUUCAGAAAUGGGGCCCAGUUGAGUGCAGCACACCAGGAUCUCCAGAUGGUUUCAGACAUGGCUCUGUUCUUCUUUGCUAGCAGAGGAUAUUCGAACAGUUCCUGCCACAAUAAAAGUACUAUAUGUGCAGCUCUUUGGAUAUGAUUACAUCUACAGCAUUUUUGGAGGUUUACCAUACAGAGUUACGUAGGACUCAAGAACAAGUUUGAAUUGUCAAGAUAUGCAUAUUAACGUCCAUCUUCUGAUUGGAUGAGCAGACUCAGCACGGAGGAUUGAAAAGGAUAUUGGACAGUACAUACCACUCUUCUGUCCCUUCACUGAAUGACGAUAUUAGUAACAGCAGUGGGGUUGUCAGUGUCGUUCCCUAGAGCAAAACUUGAGGCAGGUGAUUGAUCAUCUCCCAGUUAAAACAUCCAUGAUUUUUCUUUUGCUAUCACUAUAUCCCACACUCUAGUGACAAGGCCUUCACUGGUUGGGUGGUUUAUAAUUGACCACUCAUUGUUUUCUACUCGGUCAGUCCAGUCAUACAGAUCUUUAAUAAUUAGUUCAUGUAUACUCCAUUGUAGUAGUAUCUUUCUUCUCUAAAAAUGGUAUCCUAUCAUCCUCUAUCCAGAAGUGCUUCAUGCCCAACUCAGUGCAUAUACUAUAAAAAUAUUUGGUAAAAUACUAUGUGUAGAAUUCUGUAUCUCUUUCAUAGUCAUGACACUUUCUCCAAGACCCCUGGUUUUGUUUUGGCUAACAAGAAGUGUAUAUAUUUCAUAACAACAUCUUUAGUAUCUCAGGUUAAGGUUAUAAUCAUGUAACAUUGCGAGUGAUAGAUGGCCUUUGUAGUUUCAUUCAACUAUUUCACAAUCGAUAGUAUUUACCCAUUCUUCCAAAAAAUUGCGAAGAACAUCCUGCUGCUGUCAUGCCUGUUACUAUCUUCUUACUAUCACAUCAGUCAGCUGCUGCUCCUUCAAGGAUACUACUCCUUCCUUACGCGAGCAACAACUUUUUCUUUUGACUUGAUUAUGACACUUUGACACUUGUGUAAUGUUUUGUGACAACAUUCAGUAAUGCUAGUUAUUAGUCCUGUGCUCAAACCAAAUCCUGUCUAUAUAUAUAGCUUAUGAGAAAGAUGUACUAUUGCUAUCAGUUCAGAAGACAAGUUUAUCCAAGCAGGACGAAAAGCCAUUAUGUAUAUUGUGCAAAGAAAAUCAAUCGAAAAUAUUUGAAUGUGCUGGAAAUUGGCUUGAAGAGAGUCAUAAAUUAUCCUUAGAUGUUUAUGUGUAUAAGAGUGUACAGGUAAAAGUUUCAUUGUUAAAUCUGAAGGCACUGUGCAAGUGAUUCAUAAGGUUUCAAAUGCAAGUGCUUGUUAAAUUUGCAGGUACAAGUGAUGGCUAAAUAUACAAGUGCCAGUGCUUGUUUGAAUUGUUAGAUUUACCAGUACAAGGGGCCCAUGAAGUUUGCAGGUACAAGUGUUUUGCUAAGGAUACUGGUACAAGUGAUUGUUGAAAAUGCUGAUACAAGUGGCUGAUAGAUGUGUAGGCAUUUGUGUUAGUGGAUUAAGUUAUGAUAAACAUCUGUUAUCCGUUACAGUCAUGUCCAUCUACCGAACUUUUAACAGUUAGCUAUAUGUAGUACGUAGCUGUUUGUAGUUGAUAUCCAGUACUAUAUUAUGUGAGGUUAGGUCAUUCUCCCUUUAUGUUCAGUUCUUUGCAUCAUUAAUUUAUAGAUAUUGCAGAUUCAAUCAUUGUGGUUAGGCUUCUUUGCAUGGUCGUGUUCUUACUAUUUGGUAUAGAUAAUUGCUAUAUAGCAGUUUGGAAAGUGUACAUUUGAGAGAGAGAUAGAGAGGUACUAUCUUUAAAUUGAAUUUAGCAUCUUGUAUUAUGGAAUAUUUCUUUUUUGAAUAUACAGAAGUACAGUACCCUGAUUCCUACUGAAUGAUAUCUUAUGGUUCUCUAAUUCUUCAUAAAGUAUUGGUUUAAAAUGUUUAUUUUUUAUAAUUUAAACAGUACACUGACUUGACAUGACUACAGAAUUGUUUUUAGUAAUUGGUUUUGUGGUAUAUUAUUAUUUAAGGAUGUACUAUGUUUUGCUCCUGCCUUCUCCUUCUCUGUUUUGUAACCCAAGUUUGAUACAAGUGUUGUCCCAUCAAGAAGCAUUAUCUUCUCACUUUGUUUACAUACGGGACUCUGAGACAAUGGUGGUCAAUACGCCAUACCUACAUAUCUGUCAGGUAAUUAUUAGUAAUAUUAUAGGGUAAGGAUUACUAGCAUUGGUGAAGGGAUAUUCUCAUUUACUGUUGUCAUUGUAAAUAUACUGUACUAGAUUUUAAGGAAGGAAUUUGUAUUUGUUUCAGACUGUAGUAAUGGUUUAAGUUGAGUAAAGCUUGGGAAGCUGCA